AACCUCUGACAAUAGGCAAAGUGACACCUUAUUGAUGGUGUUGUUCUUAUAUCAUUCAGGGACAGAACAUAUGGCUGUCCUUUGUCGAUCCUAGCUUGAUACCUGCAUGGCUUGGUUACCAAAGCUGUUUUAUGCCUAGGAUCCUUAA
ensembl:snoRNA LOC120102029 small nucleolar RNA SNORA48